rnacentral:lncRNA from 1 species
CUUCUUGUAAUUUUGUGCAUAUUUGUUUUAUAUUUAUUUUCAGUGUUGACUUUCUUUUGUUAUCUGUAUAUAAUUAGUAUUUAAGAUUAGGAGAAGAUGAUUUAAUGGUAGUUAUAAAAAUAAGCUCUACUGUAUAGACAUAAACUCUAGUCCUUGUGUGGUUGGCAAGUAUUUUCAAUAUCUGAAGAUACUAGAUUUAAAGCAAUUUGGAGUUACAGGGCUUGUGACAGAUUGUCUUUUCCAAAGACGAGCACAACAUCUCUCAUCUGCAUUGAGCUGUUAUAACUCUUCCAUCAAGAGGUAAAGUUUACUUUGCCACCUACUUGAAUCUGAGACAGCAGCCCCAGACUGCUUUGACCAAUACAGUAUGCAGAACUGAUACUGCCAGUAACAGGCACAGCCCUUAACUGGCCUGGAAACUUGUACUUCCUCCCUGUUGGAAGCUAACCACCAUUUAAUAAGUGUGACUACUCCCACCCAAGCCCAUGUGGAGAGGGCUUGGAGGCUGAGAGGCUGUGCUAGAAACAGAAAGCCCAGGGAAAACAAAAGUGCCAGACCUGCAAAUGAAGAAGCCAAGUUGGAAGCCAAUCUUUCAGCACCAGCUGACCCCAGUUAAUAGCAGAUGGAUUAGAGAUGAACCCCCCACCUGAGUACUUCCUGACUUCCUAACAUAUAAAAAUGUGAGCCCAAUAAAAUAGUAGAGAUUUUAUGCCACGACAUUUUGAGGUAGUUUUAAAUGUAGUAAUCAAGAAUCAGAAUAGGGUCAACAGAGCAUAUAUACCUGCCCUGCUAAAAGGCUUUAUUCUUUUAAAACAUUUGACUGGACAAUGAGAGCCCAUUUUCCCAAUGAAUUUGCUGUAGGGUAACUGUAGGGUUUGCUACUCCUGCUCUGGAACAACAGGAAACUGAAUUCACAUCCCAUAUCUACCAUUUACUUUGUGACUGGACAAGUUACUCAACAUCUUGAAGCCUUACUUUCCUUUCCAAUCAAAUGGGGUUACAGUGAGAAUUUAAUGGUUUAAUGAAUAAAAAGCAUUACCAGCUAUCAAUUUUAAUCAUUUUUUAAUUAUAUUUUUAGAUAUAGUGAUUUAUUUUCUUGGCUAGAAAAAAUGAAAUUGUAUUGCUUCUUGGUUUAAAAUAAUUGCUGACAUUUUUACUAUUAUACUAACCUGUCAGUGACAAUGAGAAUAUCAGCUAGAGAAAGAGAGGAGGUGUUUUUUCCUUUUGCUUGGUUUACAAAGUCAUGUUAUUCAAUCACUGGUUUCUAUAUCUAUUUUUCAUUAUAUAUUUAUUUACUAUAGAAUGCAUACCUGCUCAACAUAUCCUUAAAUAUAAGAUGUUAACAUAUGUCUAUAUUUCCACAUAUGUACAAAUGAUGAAUUUAAUAACUUUUGCAUGGUUGAUAGCACAUAAAGCUUAAAUUACUUUUUGUGUCUUUUAACAAUUGCUUAACUGUUAAAGAUAAUGAGGUUUAUAAUUGCAGUCAUUGUCUUUCUCUAAUUGUACUUUCACAAAUUAGCCUUCAGACCAAAUCUAUUUGAAGCUACUCUUCUACUUUUACUCUUCCCAAUUUAGUCUCUGAAUCUCCCCUACCCCUCUCUCAUUCUUUCUUCUUCGUUUCUUCCUCUCUCCACGUACACAUAUAUGCGUAUGCACAUAUAUGUCUAUGCGCAUACAUGCAAACACACACAUAUUUACGUUUGACUUCUCAGUAUUUGGUCUUUGGGUUAGGAAUCCUACUUACAGCAGUCCACUGAGAUACUAAAUUCCUUUUAUUUCAGUUCCUUAUGACCAUUUGUCUGUCUAAGCUUUGAUAAAAUAUGGCAGGGUUCAGGAUUAUUGGCAGUCUUUUCUUCAGUGAACCCUAAAACUGGAACUUCAUAAAAGUUUCACAUCAGGAGAAACAUGUAGAGUAGAUAUGAGCAGAAAUAAGAUUAGCAACUGCUUUGAAAAUCAGAUUGUUCUUAUUUCUCUGCUAUAUGUGGAGUUCUCUUACUUGUAUGCCCAGGAAGUCUUAAUUUCCUCUGGCAUCUGCCAGCCUGUUUCACCACAUCAUGCUAAUUCAUCCCACUGAAAAAGUUAUAAAACGCAGGAAGCUUAAAUAAGCCCAGGAACUGCGUUCAUCACUCUUUUUAAAAAAUGAAACACAGAAUAUGUUUGCUUUAUUUACAGUAUUGGCUUCAGGCAAAUCAAAUUUAUGUGAAAUAUUAUUGCACCGAAAGGAUGUAAUGUGCAUUUCUUGCAUGAUACUAAAUUUAUCUUUAGGAAACAAAGACAAGUGAAGCAGCAAACUUGCCGAACAAUCUCUGCCACACCAUAUGCACUUCGUGAGUUAAAAAGUUAUGUUUUUAUCCUAAUUAUUUAUACUAUAAAUUCUGGUAUUGCAUCUAAAUUCUAUUAAUUUUCAAAAAGUUUCAUUUCAUUAAUUAGCUUAUGGUAGGACAAAGGGGUUUCACUGUAUCUACAGAUGAGACUUCAUUCCUUGUCUAGACUGGCUGGUGAAAACCUGGCUCCAUCCCAGCCUAGGGGCAGUGACCCAGGUAUAAACUCUGGGUCCAGCAUCCUAAGUAUAAAUCCUGCUCUGUCCCUCAAUUAUUGAGUAAGUUCAGGGUAAAAUGAACAAUGCCAAGCACAAAGAGGGCUAUAAAGAGGUAUAAGACAUAAUCCUUGCCCUCAUGGACUUUCGGGCUAGAUUUUUGAUCAGUAGAUCUUAAGAGCGUGAAAUAUAAGCUUGUACACCUCCCAGAGCAUUACUCAUGUGAGGUGGAAUGGAACAUGCUGAAGGACACAUAAUCCAUGUUUUAAACUGAAGAGGACCCAUAUAGUUAGCUAAGCUUUUAGAAGAACAGGUUGAGCAUCCCUAAUCGGAAAAUCUAAAAUCAGAAAUCCUCCAAAAUCUGAAAGUAUUUGAGCACCAACAUGAUAAAAAUGGAAAAUUCCACAUGUGACCUUAUGUAAUGAGUUUCAGUCAAAAUGCAGGCAUACAACCCACAGUUUAUUCAGCAUUCCCAGGAGAAAAAAGACCCUCCCAGCCUGUUUUCCUAUUCAAUACCUCACCUAUGUUGCUUCUCAGUAGCUGAUCUUGGAACAUUAAUGAUACCAAAGGGGAGUGUUUUAGGUGCAGAUCAAGAUAGCAACUAAAACUUAUGAUAAUUAACUUAGGAACUUAAAUCAGUGAGUGAAUUUCCAGGGACAGUGAGAACACUAAUUCUCUGUGAUUUUAAAAUGUCUCCAUUUGUUAUAUUCUCUGAUUUUUCUUCCCGUAUUUUUAUGAGCAAAGCUUAUAUCAACCCUAUAAAAAUGUUAUACUAGUAUAAGGAAGAGUAACAGAAAGGUACAGUCUGGAAAAGUGAACCCUGGUUCAUUGACUGAUAAGCCAGAGGAACUCAGGACCUAAUAGGCUGCAGGAGAGCAUCAAAAUAGGACAUCAACUAGAUUGCCCCUGCCCCCUCAAAGGUAUACAAGUGAGUACAAGGGCCACUUUAUUUGGUUCAGCAUUAUAAGAAUUAGAAGGGUGAGGUUCCAUGAACCCCCGUUUGUUAUGUAAUGAAGAUGAUUAACUUUCUGGCUUGCUGAGUAAAAUGGUACUCAUAAUAGAAUCAAAACCUUUCCUGAAGGUAAGACAUGCUAUAUUUAUUGCUUCCUCCUUGUCUAUAAGCCAGAACAUUCUCUCACUAUUGUAAUACAAGCUAAUAAGAGCCAAAUAAAUCUCUGAUCCUUUGGCUCACUCUGCCAUUAAACACAAGCCAUUGUAAAGUCAUGAAAAUUACCUGAGAAGGAUGUGGAAAAACUGUUUUUUUCAGAAAAGACCAACCACAGUGAUUAAAGGGAUGAAAAAGAUGACCUGCUUGAAAACUCUAAAGAACCCAGUAUUAUUUGAAAGAAGAGGAAGCUGAAUGGCUAGUCAAAUAAAGCAGUGGGAGUGGAAAAGGAUCAAAGAAAUCUGUAACCGGUUAUGAUCAAUUAGUUGUAAACACCACUGCACGAGGACCAGCCCAAAGCUGCUACUUAACCAAGUGACUUUCUGAUUGCUCAACUGUGUUUCCACUGAGAAAAAUGCAUUGAAAUGAAACAUCUCAUUUCCAGUACUGUCCUGAGGCAAAAAGAGACAAUGAUACGUAUCUCCAAUUUAGACUGGAUGAAACUAGCCACAUUUCAAAUAAAGAAGUCACAUUGUAAGUGUAAAACGACGUUAACCUUAAAGGAGACAUUUCCGCCCUGUAUAACUAUGCACAGCUUCAACUAAUGGUAUAUGAACUGUGUCUACAAACCAAAGGACAUUUUUCUAAAGAAACUUUAAAUAUAGAAAAUUAACUCAAACCUUACCUUAGAGCUUCCUCCUCUAUUGUCUUUUCCUGUAGUGGUAGUCUCUGUGGCACUUACAGGUGGUAAACAAAUAAAAAAGUGUCUUAUUGAAUUAACUUGAUUGCCAUAUUGAUCAGUUUUAUGUGUUUUUAUUCUUAAGCAUAACAAUAAAAGAAAAUGAUUAAGCAAUGUUUUGCUUAAAAAAAAAAGAUUUCAUGGCAGAGAAGCAAUUGAGUCCAGUUAAGAGACAGUUAAGAACAUUUUUCAGUUUGGAGCUUUUGUUUUGUGAUGAGAACUUUGCCAGUUAGUCACAAAUGAACUUGAGCACAUUUUCUUGAGCGUGAUGGCUGAACAGAUGAGCCACACACACUUUAUAGUGAGUUUUACUGCACUGAGUCUUUACCUACUAUUCCUAGUAGUUACACAUAUUAAAUUAUUAAUAACUGAUCAACAUUUUAAAAGAAGGUUUCAAAAGAAAUGUAAUUAGAUUUUAUAGUUGAGUUUUAGCUAAUGUGUGAUUCCACAAAAGUUCAGGUGCCGAGAUUACAUUUCAAUUUAUACUUGCCAUCUGCUAGAAUAUUCCCCUCUGUCUACAGCAUCCUGACCAGAUCUCCAAAUUUUGAAAUCUGUUUUCAUUAUUCAAGACUCAUUGUACAUUUCAAAUACCAGGUUGAUUUCUUAGUCUCCAUGUUCUCCAUGUCUGCUUAUGACUUUACAGAAAAAAUGUUAUUUACUAUGCAUAUUAAUAUUGAGAUUCUUUACUAUGCUGUAUCUUUUUUUUUUUUUUUUUUUUUUUGAGAUGGAGUCUCACUAUGUUGCCCAGGCUGGAGUGCAGUGGCGCCAUCUCGGCUCACUGCAAGCUUCGCCUCCUGGGUUCAUGCCAUUCUCCUACCUCAGCCUCCUGAGUAGCUGGGAUUCUAAUCUCCGCCACCACGCCUGGCCAAUUUUUUGUAUUUUUAGUAGAGACAGGGUUUCACUUUGUUAGCCAGGAUGGGAGCUCGUAAUCCGCCCACCUCGGCCUCCCAAAGCUGGGAUUACAGGCGUGAGCCACUGUGCCUGGCCUACUAUGCUGUAUUCUUAUAGUUAACAGCAUGCUCUUUGAUAAUAUCUCAUUGGAAAUAUUUAUGCUCUGAAACAUUAUUUUUUGAAUUGUUAAAUAUAAAUCAUUUAUACAGCAAUACUUUAUGGGAGAAGCAUAUGCUGAAUUUUAAUGGUGUUUACUUUGCAAUCCAAAAUUGUGAAUACAUACAUGUAAAACUAUGAAAUUGCUAAUUAAAUAUUUCCAUCUAUC